ACCCUACCAAUCACUCUAUUUCACAUUUCAUUCCACAACCACAAGACACAAUUCAAUUUCCUUCUCUGCACAAAACCAAACCGCAAACCAUUUCUCCUUUCUAAAUACCGAGACACCACCUUCAUCGAAUCUCAUUUCCUUCUCUGCACAACUCCACCGAAACCACUGCAAAUCCUCUCCAUAAACACGCCUCACCUCUUCCUCUGCAUUCGACCAAGAGCAUCCGAGAGAGAGAGCCACUUGGUGAGCUGCAUCUGUGAGCUAGGAAGGAGGGAACGUGAGCUGCCAGAAAUUUCUGGUUCUGCUGUGAGUUGGAGUGAAGCCAGGGAGGAGAUUUGCAGGAAGUGAAGCCAGGGAGGAGAUUUGCAGGAAGCUUCACCAUUUUUCACCUUCAUCUCCACCAACUCCAACCAACCGAACACAAAUCCACCAGCUACACCCAAUUCCAGCCGCAACUCAGGAAACAGGAACCACCGACUGCACUUGGCCGAGAGCUAGGGAAGAAAUUUCUGGAAUAUUUCGUGUGAAAGAUUAGCUGCUAUCUGAGGGUUUUUUGAGGACGCGGAAUUCGAUCCCCAACUUGAUAUCUGAACUCCACUCUUGGUUCUGGAAACUGAAAGCUGGAUGCUUAAUUAUGUUUUUCUUUUGGGCUGUAUUUGAAUACUAUAACUUAUUCUGUGGGCUGUAACGUGUUAUUGGGAUAAUGUAUUUUCCUUUUUGGAUUGCCACUUGAAACUGGAAAGUGUGUAAACCCUAAUUCGAUUGCUUGGCUUGUAAGUUGUAUUAUGGAUUUAUGCAGUUUAUCUAUCCGGUUUGUUAUGACUUUGUACUUUGGUAAGUAGCACGUAGGACGUUUAAGGGCCUCGACUGG